rnacentral:rRNA from 1 species
CUAAGAAUAUUCCGCAAUGGACGAAAGUCUGACGGAGCGACGCCGCGUGGAUGAAGAAGGCCGAAAGGUUGUAAAAUCCUUUUGCUGAUGAAGAAUAAGUAUGGUAGGGAAUGACCGUAUGAUGACAUUAGUCGGUGAAUAAGCCCCGGCUAACUACGUGCCAGCAGCCGCGGUAACACGUAGGGGGCAAGCGUUGUUCGGAAUUAUUGGGCGUAAAGGGCAUGUAGGCGGUUCUGUAAGCCUGGUGUGAAAUCCUGCAGCUUAACUGUAGAAUUGCAUCGGGUACUGCAAGACUUGAAUCACAGAGGGGAAACUAGAAUUCCAGGUGUAGGGGUGGAAUCUGUAGAUAUCUGGAAGAAUACCGGUGGCGAAGGCGGGUUUCUAGCUGAUGAUUGACGCUGAGGUGCGAAAGUGCGGGGAGCAAACAGG